GAGUGAAUGCCUGUAGAGAUUGGACACUUACAUAACUAAAGAAGAAUCCAUCUUCUUCCAAAUCUAGAUUGAAAGAAAGAAUUAGUGAAACAGAUAUGUGAUCCGAUCACAUAUUUAAUUUCAGCAUAAAAUCAACAUAUGUUAAUUUCAACAUAUGAAGUAGAUCCUUGUGUGCUUUAUUCUUAUGCAUGCAUGUUCUAGAUUAAAAGAUAUUUUA
rnacentral:lncRNA from 1 species